GUAAAACUGCUUGAAGAAGGUCUUCACUAUCGUGUCUUCCUUGCUGGUCGAGGUUGGACUCGGCAAGUGGUAGCCCAUAUAGGGACCUCCUGAUAUCAGAACUUCUUGCAGUCUGGGCAGCGCUGGAAAGUUCCCAAGGAUCGGCAAGAUCCCUUGUGGGUCCCUGAAAUAUUGACCAGGAGGUACAACAAGAAUGAAGAUCCUGCUGCUGCUCACACUUCUGGGUGUGACCCAAAUGCUGGUACAAAUGGAACCCCUGAGGGAGAUACUAUCGGUGUUCCUAAGACUCAUGCCGAUACGACAUGACUUUUAAGUCCACUCCUCUACUUCGUCUAAACAGUUGUCAAGUUAUCUUCUAGGUAAUUGGACAGGAGAAUACGAAUUCUUAAUAGAUCUGCUACAUGUAGCCAUCAUGACCAUGAACACCACACGUACAGAUGCUAGACUGGCUACGGGAUUGUCAUCUUGGAUUGCUGCUGCUAUGAAUCAUCUGAGGGAGUGGGCGGGUAUGGGAACCCUAGCUGGACUCUUGCUGCUGGUCUCCCUAGUGCACCUGUGGUGUCUCUGUAGAAUGAGGUUUGUUCAGAGGCGGGAAGCGGUUAUGGUGGUACAGGUAUUUGCAGCCAUUAAAUCAGGACAGUCCCCUCAAGCCUGGCUUACCGUCAUUCAGAAGACCUUGUUGUACCUCACGCCUGAGUAUGUAUGAGUGACCCUGCCCAGUGACGGGCAAUCCCCUUCUACCUAAGGCAUGGGACCUUGUGGGAGACGAGGUGUCCUAAGACUGGUUUAAUGAACAGAUGAUCCUAAGACGGUUGGAUGGGUCGCCACACUCAGUGGUGCUUUGCCUGCUUGAUUAAUUAAACAAAAAAAGGGAACUAUAGGCAGUUGCAACAUGGUGCACCUCAAAGAUGGUGCUGGUUUCUGCCUUCCACCCUCCCAAUGGUGCGUGGUCCUUGUAGUAAGGAAGUCCUUAUUUGGCUAUGCCUGCCUGGCCUCCCAGCUUCCGCAUAGUGAGAGCCGAUAUUCUUGACGCAUGUAGCUUGUUGGGAUUGGCCAGCAGUAGCUAUUUAAAUGUGCUCUGGGGUUUCCAAGGGGGCAGAAGAUUGUAUCAAGGUUCCUGAAUAAAAC
rnacentral:lncRNA from 1 species